rnacentral:rRNA from 1 species
CCUACGGGUGGCAGCAGUGAGGAAUAUUGGUCAAUGGACGAGAGUCUGAACCAGCCAAGUAGCGUGAAGGAUGACUGCCCUAUGGGUUGUAAACUUCUUUUAUAUGGGAAUAAAAUGUUCCACGUGUGGGAUUUUGUAUGUACCAUAUGAAUAAGGAUCGGCUAACUCCGUGCCAGCAGCCGCGGUAAUACAGAGGAUCCGAGCGUUAUCCGGAUUUAUUGGGUUUAAAGGGAGCGUAGGUGGAUUGUUAAGUCAGUUGUGAAAGUUUGCGGCUCAACCGUAAAAUUGCAGUUGAAACUGGCAGUCUUGAGUACAGUAGAGGUGGGCGGAAUUCGUGGUGUAGCGGUGAAAUGCUUAGAUAUCACGAAGAACUCCGAUUGCGAAGGCAGUUCACUGGACUGCAACUGACACUGAGGCUCGAAAGUGUGGGUAUCAAACAGGAUUAGAUACCCGAGUAGUC